UGAUAAAACAUGUAACUGAUGCUGCCAACAGCAGAAAGACUGAGAGGAAGGAAGUAGCAGGUUCGCAGGAGCAGAUAUUUUUCCGACUUUGGGAUUUUGUUUAUGCAGCCUGGAAACUUCCAGGGAAAUUCAUAUGACAUGCUUGCAGAUAUAUAACCAUGCCACAAGGGGAUGUU